CACAUGCAACAGCAUUGCAAAUGCAGUAUGUCACUAGCUGAGGCGACAAUUUUGUUGCGUCUGUGAAUCUGGCGGAAGGGCUACUGUGGAAAUGUGGUACAUUUAUAUCGACCGUAAUGACUGUGUCAAGAGGGCUCUCAACAAUAGGUUUUAUAUGUUACAUGUGUGGAACGCUGUGCAGCCAAAGAAAUAUCGUUAAAUAACAGGUUUAUUAAAGUCUUCCUUUCUGUAAGAGAAACAAUGAAACCAAUGUAAAAUGUUGCAACUGUGAUACAUGAAUUACUUUGUAACAGAAAAUGAGGAUAAAACUAGUAUAUCAAUCAUCUCUCAUUGUAAUGGUAGUCAUACAUGCAAGUGGAUUUUAGCACUGUGAAGAUGAUCAUCAUUUGAAAUAAAACUAUUUUUUACUUGCUUAACA